UAAUUUACUUACGGAGUACUUCGUAUAAAAAUUACAAUAAUAAUUUAUGUUGGGGGCGGUUUACGGUGGUCAUGGAAGUCAAAAUCCGCUAAGGAAUGUGUAACAAUACCCCGCCGAUUCAACUAGCCCCGCAAAUGGGUGACACUGAAGCGCGUGACUUAUACUUA
rnacentral:ncRNA from 1 species